ensembl:lncRNA
CCCCCCUCCCAGCUUUCCUUGAAGACACCCCUCCUCGUGGCAUGAGGAAAGCUGCUGCUCCUGCUGGCACUGCUUGGGACACAGCAGCCUCACUCACAGCAGCUUCCUUUAAGCCUGCUCCCUACGCUCACGUUCAUGUUGGUGCUGAGCUGCUGCAGCAGCUGUUCUGCUGCACCGUAGCAAGAAGGUGGCCUGAUGGGUGCAGCCACGGAGCGUGCAGCCACGCUGUGACCCCAGCACCUGCUGGGUUUGGAAAGCACGCCGCGCCUCAGGAGCUGCAUGGAGCUGGCUUACACCCUGUGGCCGAAUAAGGGCUCGAGCCUGCAGCUGGCGUCAAGUGGGCUGUGGAAAUUCGGUGGAGUCCUGCCAGGCAAUGGCAGCUGAAGCGCUGGCACCAGGAGCUAUUUUUUAUACAUAAAACCAGCUAUUUUUGCACGACCUUUGGUUUCGUAGCAAAGCACGCGGGCUGCCUUUCCCCUCUGAAAGUACAGACGUGUGAUCUCUUUGCUGGACGCUCACAUCACGGAGGCGUUUGGUGCAGAUAAGCACGAGCAUCUGUCAGGGUGCCAUUUCUGCACUGUGCAGCAGCGUGGGAGCACUCCCUGUCCCCCUGCUCCCCGCCUGCUAAGAACAACUGAAACUAAUUACAUACCAGGAAUACCAGCGUCCCCGCAAAGCGGCUCUCCCUCCCUCGCUCCCUUUUUUUCCCUUCCGCCUGAUUCACCAGGGCUUUGGCUGCGCUCCAGGGCUGAGGAGGGUGGGGAGAGGCAGGAGGGCUCGGGAGGGCAGUGGCUGCCUCCUGCACUCAUUUCCACUUCACAGCUGCUGCCGAGCUCUGCCACGGGGAGACAGAUCCCAGAGGUGGGAGGGAGCGUGGCGGGGAGGGAGAGGAUGAAAGCAGCAAAGAGCUGCAUUUACAAGGCUGUUUUUCUUUCGGUGAAAAGAAGCAUUUAUCAGUGAUUUCAUAUAUCAUGUGAGAGGUGGCUUCCUGCCAGUUUUCGAAGGAUGCAAACAACCCGCUGACAUCAUACGCUAAAUAUAGAGCAGCUCCCGCUUUAGGUGGAUAAAUAAUGCAGAUGCACGAGCCUGGGUCUUCGGUUACACACUCAUUAGGAUCGGCCUGUCAGUUACAUUUCAUGCCUGCAACGCACCACGCUGCAGCUUUUCCAGCACGGCUCUCCCACGUCCCUCCCUUUUCCUUGAAGCCAAGCCCUAACGACAGCUAUGGGUGGGGAGAGGCUGAACAACGAGCGCAGCCAAAAUGUGGAAACUUCCCCGGGCGCUUAGCGGGGGAAAAAAAACAGGAGAAAGAAAAAGGCAAAGAAAGGGCUCUGAUCAGACUAUGCAAGCAGCAAAACAGCAGCAGCUCGAUCAAAGGCGCUGCGCGGGAGGAAGAGUCCAGAGCCAUUCCCACCCAGGGAGAAGGGAGACCCGAGAGCAGGAAACGCAAAGACAAUGCGCCAUAAAGCUGCCGCAAGGUGUUGGAUCGAUGACAACAUCUGCAUGAAUCCUUCCCCUGGCAGCCAGGGAUACAAUAGAAGCUGUUCCUAUGGAAACCAGAGCAAAAGCAUCGGGCAGGAGGAAGAAGGCUGCAAUUAAAGGUGGAAAAGCGAGAGAGUAUUUUUAGAUUGCUUCGGAGGAACGCUACAGAAUGACAUCAUCCUAUCUUGUUAUUUGCACUGGGGCUAUGUAACAUACUGCGGCGUCUGCCCCUGGCCAUUAAAUGGAAAAACGUUAUUAUGUGUGUGAAUUAUAAAUACUGCGGUGAAACCCGAGCUCGGGAGUUAUUAGACAUCACUGUUCUGUAAUAAAGAAGAACAUUUAAUACACUGCACUGCACGGAUUCACUGUUCGAUGCAGGAGGCAUUGUGUCUCGGAUUUUAAUAUUCCCAGAAGGUAAUUAUGAGUCAUCCUUUUAUUGUCAUUAAGAAGCAAAGUGCAAAUAAUUUUACACAUGUGAUGUCCCUCACAUCAGUGAGCCUCUUGCACUGGAGAAACACGGCCUAAUUUUCCAGAAUGCUGUGUGCCAACGCGCUCCAAGUGGAUGUGGCAGUAGUUGUAACUGCUCAGCGCUGCCAAAAACUCACCCGUCCAUUUCGCAUGCGAACGUCUCAUUCGUUUCAGAAAUACAAAGUGCACGUUCCGCUGUCUGUAUUCGGCUCCUUGGGUAGGGCCAGACUCCACUAAGAGUUAAGGACCUGUGGCAUAAAGCCCUGAAUCGAGGGGAAAAAUUAUUCUGACACGUUUGUGAUGGCAUUACUGAACAGGGGGUCCUUCAGCAGAAGCAUAUCUGAAAUGAACCAGAUUCCCCAGCUAAGGCCCCACAAACACAUGUGUAGGUGCGGCAACACCAAUAUAUGCCACUUCCCGACGUCAGCCCCGACAACGUGCAGGAUUGACCCUGAACACGCACCCAGCAUGGCGGGCCGGUAUCUUGCAGAUAGUGCUCCCUCUGACAGGAGAGCCUCCAGCUUCAGAGGUGAAGCAAGCAGGGACUCGCCCGCCUCGCAGCAGGACGUGGGAGCCCAGCGCCUGCCUCGCCUGAGAAGCGUAAAUCGCUGCUGGGGUCACACCGCUGCCAGUAACGUGAGAAGGGUAAACCCAGAGGAAUGUGCUUCUUGUGACUGCAGAGCUUCAAAAGUGCUCUCUGCACCGGAAUAAUGAUCAGCAAAUGCCACACUCAGCUAGAGAGUGUGCUGUCACUGGAGAUGGGCAGGGACUGAAAUUCCCCGUGCAGAUAUCCACUGACGCUGCCAAAAUAUCUGCGGGUGAGUGACAGGGCUUGCCCUAGCUUCUGCCCUGUGUGAAAUGAAGCACGUGGUGCUCAGCCAUUUGUUUUUGCACUCCGGAGGAACCUCUGUGUCAGCAGGGAGGCGGGUCGCCGCAGCCGCCCGAUGCCAAAGGAGCAGGCACAGGCCCAAGAGGCCUUGCACAGACCCACAGCAAGGCUUGGGCUGCCCUGAUGGCUUUUUGCAGUGCUCCUCGUUGGUGGGCUAAACGCACCCCUGGCAGCAUAUCCUCACCUCUCCCCUUCCCUGUCCCCGCAGCAAAAGGCACUGGUGCAGCCUGAUGGGGCAGUUGCCAGCUGGGGAAACAGCAGCACAUAGCGUAGAGAGGAUGGUGGAUGGAUGGGCAGGCAGAAACGGACAAGCAGAGACUGCUUAAAGCAAGGGCAAAAGGCAGCAAAGCCAAAAUCUUCCCCCCGUGCCAUCAUUAUAUGCUACUAUUCUCCCAGUUUUAGCUCUCUCUUCCACACAGAUCUGGCUGUAGAAAUGUGUAAUGGUUGUGCAUGUGCUACUUCUAGUUCAUCUUUGGGCAGGAGUAGAAGAACAUCAACCACCACCAUGUAGCUCAGGCUGCAGGGUAUCCACAGAGCAGAAUUCAAAAAGCUGAGCAAGUUGACUUGAGCCCGAAAUAACAAAACAUGAAAACAUAUUUUGAUCUAAGCACAGCCUUUUAGCUCUCAGAUCCCUAAGUUAGACCUAAAUCUCCUGACUUAGAUAACUUAGUGCCUGAGAAAGCAGCCUUUUUAUGAUAGGACUGACUAAAUUGACUUAUUGUGCACAUUGGCUUCACUCAGCUUAACCUCAUCCCCGCUUUCUAGUUAAGCUAAUGCCCAGCAUGACACUGGAUAACUUUUCCAUUCUUCCUGGCUGCUCUUUUUUGCCACAUCUCUUUUCUUUUCUUUUUUCUUUUCUUUUUUCUUUUCUUUUCUUUUCUUUUUUCUUUUCUUUUCUUUUCUUUUCUUUUCUUUUCUU